rnacentral:tRNA from 1 species
AGACGGGUAGCUCAGCCGGUUAGAGCGUCUGGUUUACACCCAGAAGGCCGUGGGUUCGAGUCCCACCCCGUCUACCA